GACGUAGGGCGCGAGCGUUGUCCGGAUUUAUUGGGCGUAAAGAGCUCGUAGGCGGUUUGUCGCGUCUGCUGUGAAAACUGGAGGCUCAACCUCCAGCCUGCAGUGGGUACGGGCAGACUAGAGUGCGGUAGGGGAGAUUGGAAUUCCUGGUGUAGCGGUGGAAUGCGCAGAUAUCAGGAGGAACACCGAUGGCGAAGGCAGAUCUCUGGGCCGUAACUGACGCUGAGGAGCGAAAAGCAUGGGGAGCGAACAGG
rnacentral:rRNA from 1 species